UGGGGAAUUUUGGACAAUGGGCGAAAGCCUGAUCCAGCAAUGCCGCGUGUGUGAAGAAGGCCUUCGGGUUGUAAAGCACUUUUGUCCGGAAAGAAAUCCUCUGGGUUAAUACCUCGGGGGGAUGACGGUACCGGAAGAGUAAGCACCGGCUAACUACGUGCCAGCAGCCGCGGUAAUACGUAGGGUGCAAGCGUUAAUCGGAAUUACUGGGCGUAAAGCGUGCGCAGGCGGUUUUGUAAGACGGAUGUGAAAUCCCCGGCUCAACCUGGGAACUGCAUUGGUGACUGGCAGGCUAGAGUAUGGCAGAGGGGGGUAGAAUUCCACGUGUAGCAGUGAAAUGCGUAGAGAUGUGGAGGAAUACCGAUGGCGAAGGCAGCCCCCUGGGCCAAUACUGACGCUCAUGCACGAAAGCGUGGGGAGCAAAACAGGAUUAGAUACCCUGGUAGUCCACGCCCUAAAACGAUGUCAACUAGUUGUUGGGGAUUCAUUUCCUUAGUAACGUAGCUAACGCGUGAAGUUGACCGCCUGGGGAGUACGGUCGC
rnacentral:rRNA from 1 species